AUUGAACGCUGGCGGCAGGCCUAACACAUGCAAGUCGAGCGGAGCGGCGGACGGGUGAGUAAUGCCUAGGAAUCUGCCUGGUAGUGGGGGAUAACGUCCGGAAACGGGCGCUAAUACCGCAUCCUAUCAGAUGAGCCUCGGUCGGAUUAGCUAGUUGGGGGGUUAAAGGCCUACCAAGGCGACGAGCCGUAACUGGUCUGAGAGGAUGAUCAGUCAAACUGGAACUGAGACACGGUCCAGACUCCUACGGGAGGCAGCAGUGGGGAAUAGUGGACAAUGGGCGAAAGCCUGAUCCAGCCAUGCCGCGUGUGUGAAGAAGGUCUUCGGAUUGUAAAGCACUUGUGGCAGGAAAGCGGUACCUGCAGAAUAAGCACCGGCUAACUACGUGCCAGCAGCCGCGGUAAUAC
rnacentral:rRNA from 1 species